AUUGAACGCUGGCGGCAGGCCUAACACAUGCAAGUCGAGCGGACACGAUGUAACUUGCUACAGCCGUCGAUCGCCGGACGGGGGUGUAAAACGUAUGGAUCUGCCUAGUAGUGGGGGGCUAUAUCUUGAAACGCACGCUGAUACUGCCUACUCAUUUCGUGGGCAAGGUGGGGCUCUUCGGACAUUUCGCUUUUCGGUUACUCCGCGUUAGAUUAGCUCGUCGGUAGGGUAAAGGCUUACCAAGGCGACGAUCUUUAACCGGUCUGAGAGGAUGACCAGCCACACUGGAACUGAGACACGGCCCAGACUCCUACGGGAGGCAGCAGUGGGGAAUCUUGGACAAUGGGCGAAAGCCUGAUCCAGCAAUGCCGCGUGAGUGAAGAAGGCCUUCGGAUUGUAAAGCACUUUUAGGAGGGAAGAAGAAUGUUUGGAGAAUAUCCAAACAUUUUGACGGUAGCUCCAGAAAAAGCAACGGCUAACUACGUG
rnacentral:rRNA from 1 species